GAUGAACGCUGGCGGCGUGCCUCAGACAUGCAAGUCGAACGCGAAAGUCCCCUUCGGGGGACAAGUAGAGUGGCGCACGGGUGAGUAACACGUAGGUAAUCUACCUUCGGAUGGGGAAUAACAACCGGAAACGGUUGCUAAUACCGCAUAAUGCAGCGGCACCUAAUGGUGACAGUUGUUAAAGCGGGGGAUCGAAAGACCUCGCGUCUGAAGAGGAGCCUGCGGCGGAUUAGCUAGUGGUAAGGUAAUGGCUUACCAAGGCGACGAUCCGUAGCCGGCCUGAGAGGGGCGGUCGGCCACACUGACACUGACAUACGGGUCAGACUCCUACGGGAGGCAGCAGUCGGGAAUUUGGGCAAUGGGCGAAAGCCUGACCCAGCAACGCCGCGUGAAGGACGAAAU
rnacentral:rRNA from 1 species